rnacentral:tRNA from 1 species
CGGGACGUGGCGCAGCUUGGUAGCGUACCUGACUGGGGGUCAGGGGGUCGUGGGUUCGAAUCCCGCCGUCCCGA